UACGUAGGGUGCAAGCGUUGUCCGGAAUUAUUGGGCGUAAAGAGCUCGUAGGCGGUUUGUCGCGUCGAAUGUGAAAACCCGAAGCUCAACUUCGGGCCUGCAUCCGAAACUGCCCGACUAGAGGUAGGUAGGGGAGAUCGGAAUUCCUGGUGUAGCGGUGAAAUGCGCAGAUAUCAGGAGGAACACCGGUGGCGAAGGCGGAUCUCUGGGCCUUACCUGACGCUCAGGUGCGAAAGCUAGGGGAGCGAACAGG
rnacentral:rRNA from 1 species